UACGUAGGGUGCGAGCGUUGUUCGGAAUUACUGGGCGUAAAGGGCGCGUAGGCGGCCUGUUAAGUCGAACGUGAAAUCCCCGGGCUCAACCCGGGAACUGCGUCCGAUACUGGCAGGCUUGAAUUCGGGAGAGGGAUGUGGAAUUCCAGGUGUAGCGGUGAAAUGCGUAGAUAUCUGGAGGAACACCGGUGGCGAAGGCGGCAUCCUGGACCGAUAUUGACGCUGAUGCGCGAAAGCCAGGGGAGCAAACGGG
rnacentral:rRNA from 1 species